GGGGGCAAAGGGAAUCCGCGAAGAUCUAAGCAUUAAAAACUGUGUCUAGCCAUUCUUGUAUUUAAGGAAAAUAAGUUUUCUUUGCACGAUGAAACAUCAGCACAAAUUGCAUCCUGAAAAUAUCUCUAGUAGUGGCUCCGGAAUCGAUGACCAAGAAAAGUCUUGCACGUUGCCAAAAGUGCCAAGUAAGCAUGCAUGAAAUUACCAUGCUAAGAUGCCCUUCACUCAUUUGAAUGUUAAACUGUUUUAUGUGUGCAGUUAAGCAACAGCAAACUACACCAAGAACUGAUGCUUCACCACUUUCCAAGAUACUUCGCUCAUUUGAAUGUUAAAUAUUGUAACAUGCAAAGUACGGAACCAGUUUUAGCCUCAGUUGUAAAUACUAAAACGGAUUGGAUCUCUAAGAUUAGAUACGGGCCUCGGUGGUGUCAACUCACUGGUAGAAAACUGACUUAUAGUUCCGGAUCGUAGGGCGUAAAUCUCCCGAAAACCAAUCCGAGAUAAAGCAAUGGAGAUAAAAGGGGGUGUCUUUUAUCCCGGGUGCCUUAACCGGAACUAAAAACAACAUUUAAUCCCGGUUUGUAAAAUAAACCAGGACUAAAGGGGCUGCCAUGCGAGGCGCGGUACAGACCCCCCUUUAUCCCGGUUAGUAACAACAACCGGGAUAAAUGCUUUUGACAAAAAAGAAAAAAAAAUUCCAAGGGGGUCCAGGGAGCCCCCGCACACGACAAGUCACAAGUCACACGAUUUUCACGUGAAAUAUGCACGUAAGCGGUCCGUGGGAUUCGAACCCACGACCUCAAGCCUCGCGCGUAGCCUCCUUACCAUCCCACC
rnacentral:lncRNA from 1 species